ACGAUGAGCCCAGCUUGCUGGGUGGAUUAGUGGCGAACGGGUGAGUAACACGUGAGUAACCUGCCCCUGACUCUGGGAUAAGCCCGGGAAACUGGGUCUAAUACCGGAUAUGACCAUGGGACGCAUGUCUUGUGGUGGAAAGAUUUAUCGGUUGGGGAUGGACUCGCGGCCUAUCAGCUUGUUGGUGAGGUAAUGGCUCACCAAGGCGACGACGGGUAGCCGGCCUGAGAGGGUGACCGGCCACACUGGGACUGAGACACGGCCCAGACUCCUACGGGAGGCAGCAGUGGGGAAUAUUGCACAAUGGGCGCAAGCCUGAUGCAGCGACGCCGCGUGAGGGAUGACGGCCUUCGGGUUGUAAACCUCUUUCAGUAGGGAAGAAGCGAGAGUGACGGUACCUGCAGAAGAAGCGCCGGCUAACUUACGUGCCAGCAGCCGCGGUAAUACGUAGGGCGCAAGCGUUAUCCGGAUUUAUUGGGCGUAAAGAGCUCGUAGGCGGUUUGUCGCGUCUGCCGUGAAAGUCCGAGGCUCAACCUCGGAUCUGCGGUGGGUACGGGCAGACUAGAGUGAUGUAGGGGAGACUGGAAUUCCUGGUGUAGCGGUGAAAUGCGCAGAUAUCAGGAGGAACACCGAUGGCGAAGGCAGGUCUCUGGGCAUUUACUGACGCUGAGGAGCGAAAGCAUGGGGAGCGAACAGGAUUAGAUACCCUGGUAGUCCAUGCCGUAAACGUUGGGCACUAGGUGUGGGGGACAUUCCACGUUUUCCGCGCCGUAGCUAACGCAUUAAGUGCCCCGCCUGGGGAGUACGGCCGCAAGGCUAAAACUCAAAGGAAUUGACGGGGGCCCGCACAAGCGGCGGAGCAUGCGGAUUAAUUUCGAUGCAACGCGAAGAAUCCUUACCAAGGCUUGACAUGUUCCAGACCGCCUUCAGAAGAUGGGGUUUUCCCUUUCGGGGCUGGUUCACAGGUGCGUGCAUGGUUGUCGUCAGCUCGUGUCGUGAGAUGUUGGGUUAAGUCCCGCAACGAGCGCAACCCUCGUUCCAUGUUGCCAGCGGGUUAUGCCGGGGACUCAUGGGAGACUGCCGGGGUCAACUCGGAGGAAGGUGGGGAUGACGUCAAAUCAUCAUGCCCCUUAUGUCUUGGGCUUCACGCAUGCUACAAUGGCCGGUACAAUGGGUUGCGAUACUGUGAGGUGGAGCUAAUCCCUAAAAGCCGGUCUCAGUUCGGAUUGGGGUCUGCAACUCGACCCCAUGAAGUCGGAGUCGCUAGUAAUCGCAGAUCAGCAACGCUGCGGUGAAUACGUUCCCGGGCCUUGUACACACCGCCCGUCAAGUCACGAAAGUUGGUAACACCCGAAGCCGAUGGCCUAA
rnacentral:rRNA from 1 species